UAUUGUUCUCGUAAUUAACCAUCUAUCAUAGCCAGUUUUAUCCGUCUUAAACUGACAUAAAACAUCUUUUAAUAAAACUGUAAACAAAUUUACUCAUUAUACCAACAAAAUCGUUGCGGAGGAAAGAUGCAUAAAUUUGUUGUCCUAUGUGUCUUGGUUAUAGUUUCAACUUGCAUAGCACAGAAGACAAAAGGACGACCAAAGAUUGUCGUUAAACCUAAAGGAAUUUCAGUCAACACAGAUAUUGAGAAGUGUCGAACUUGUAGCCGGUAUUUUAAAGGAGACAACAGGCAGCUGUGUAACAAUUUGUUUUGCAGUAAAGACAAAGCCAGAAAAAACUUGAAAAGUCCUCAAAUAUGCAGUUCGUGUACUAGAAAGUUUACAAUCCUGAAGAAACAACAGACGUGUAAGGAAGUUUUCUGUGCAGGACCUACAACAGUUGAUCCUACCACCUUUCCCGCAAGAGCUUUGGCCUUUACAGUGGAUAUGCUAUGUGCUUACUGCAGGGCUAUAAAUAAUUAUAAUUGCCUUGUACACUAUGGUUGUCCACGGUAGACGAUUGUGUACCAUAAGACAAACAAGCUAAUCUUAAAAUACUUUGUUUAUAGUUCGUUAAUCGUGGAUAAAAUUUAUCUAAACUGUG